CAGCAAUACCAUUCUGAAAGCCCCUGUUCUCGACUGAUCACAGAAGUUAAGCAUCACCUGCGUGGAGUACUUGGGAGGUGAUCACCUGGAAACACCGAGUAU